GAUGAACGCUGGCGGCGUGCCUAAUACAUGCAAGUCGAGCGAACGGACGAGAAGCUUGCUUCUCUGAUGUUAGCGGCGGACGGGUGAGUAACACGUGGAUAAACUACCUAUAAGACUGGGAUAACUUCGGGAAAACGGAGCUAAUACCGGAUAAUAUUUUGAACAGCAUGGUUCAAAAGUGAAAGACGGUCUUGCUGUCUCUUAUAGAUGGAUCCGCGCUGCAUUAGCUAGUUGGUAAGGUAACGGCUUACCAAGGCAACGAUGCAUAGCCGACCUGAGAGAGUGAUCGGCCACACUGGAACUGAGACACGGUCCAGACUCCUACGGGAGGCAGCAGUAGGGAAUCUUCCGCAAUGGGCGAAAGCCUGACGGAGCAACGCCGCGUGAGUGAUGAAGGUCUUCGGAUCGUAAAACUCUGUUAUUAGGGAAGAACAUAUGUGUAAGUAACUGUGCACAUCUUGACGGUACCUAAUCAGAAAGCCACGGCUAACUACGUG
rnacentral:rRNA from 1 species